rnacentral:rRNA from 1 species
UUAAGCGAAUAAGCGUACACGGUGGAUGCCUAGGCAAUCAGAGGCGAUGAAGGACGUGCUAAUCUGCGAUAAGCGUCGGUAAGGUGAUAUGAACCGUUAUACCCGACGAUUUCCGAAUGGGGAAACCCAAUAUCCAAUGGAUAUUAUCAUUAACUGAAUACAUAGGUUAAUGAAGCGAACCGGGAGAACUGAAACAUCUCAGUACCCCGAGGAAAAGAAAUCAACCGAGAUUCCCCUAGUAGCGGCGAGCGAACGGGGAACAGCCCAGAGUCUUAAUCAACAGCAGCAUCAGGAGAACGGUCUGGAAAGUCCGGCAGUAAAGGGUGAUAGCCCCGUAUCCGAAGAUGCUGUUAUUGUGAACUCGACGAGUAGGGCGGGACACGUGUUAUCCUGUCUGAAUAUGGGGGGACCAUCCUCCAAGGCUAAAUACUCCUGAUUGACCGAUAGUGAACCAGUACCGUGAGGGAAAGGCGAAAAGAACCCCGGCGAGGGGAGUGAAAAAGAACCUGAAACCGUGUACGUACAAGCAGUAGGAGCCCCACCACUAAGCUAGUGGUGAACUCACAGCGAUUCUUUUGCAUGAUAAAGAGCGGUAGACGACGCGAAGUGACGUCCAACCAAUCCAAUCAGGCAGAGGAGGCUUAGUGGUGGGGUGACUGCGUACCUUUUGUAUAAUGGGUCAGCGACUUAUAUUCUGUAGCAAGGUUAACCGAAUAGGGGAGCCGUAGGGAAACCGAGUCUUAACUGGGCGAAUGAGUUGCAGGGUAUAGACCCGAAACCCGGUGAUCUAUCCAUGGGCAGGUUGAAGGUUGGGUAACACUAACUGGAGGACCGAACCGACUAAUGUUGAAAAAUUAGCGGAUGACUUGUGGAUGGGGGUGAAAGGCCAAUCAAACCGGGAGAUAGCUGGUUCUCCCCGAAAGCUAUUUAGGUAGCGCCUCGUGAACUCAUCUUCGGGGGUAGAGCACUGUUUCGACUAGGGGGUCAUCCCGACUUACCAACUCGAUGCAAACUGCGAAUACCGAAGAAUGUUAUCACGGGAGACACACGGCGGGUGCUAACGUCCGUCGUGAAGAGGGAAACAACCCAGACCGCCAGCUAAGGUCCCAAAGUCAUGGUUAAGUGGGAAACGAAGUGGGAAGGCUCAGACAGCCAGGAUGUUGGCUUAGAAGCAGCCAUCAUUUAAAGAAAGCGUAAUAGCUCACUGGUCGAGUCGGCCCGCGCGGAAGAUGUAACGGGGCUAAACCAUGCACCGAAGCUGCGGCAGCAACACUAAGUGUUGUUGGGUAGGGGAGCGUUCUGUAAGCCUGCGAAGGUGUGCUGUGAGGCAUGCUGGAGGUAUCAGAAGUGCGAAUGCUGACAUAAGUAACGAUAAUGCGGGUGAAAAACCCGCACGCCGGAAGACCAAGGGUUCCUGUCCAACGUUAAUCGGGGCAGGGUGAGUCGACCCCUAAGGCGAGGCUGAAAAGCGUAGUCGAUGGGAAACGGGUUAAUAUUCCCGUACUGGUGGUAACUGCGAUGGGGGAACGGAGAAGGCUAGGUUGUCCGGGCGACGGUCGUCCCGGUUCAAGCAUGUAGGCAGAGUGAUUAGGCAAAUCCGGUCACUUAAUGCUGAGGUGUGAUGACGAGCCACUAAGGUGGUGAAGCAAUUGAUGCCCUGCUUCCAGGAAAAGCCUCUAAGCUUCAGGUUACCAACAAUCGUACCCCAAACCGACACAGGUGGUCAGGUAGAGAAUACUCAGGCGCUUGAGAGAACUCGGGUGAAGGAACUAGGCAAAAUGGUGCCGUAACUUCGGGAGAAGGCACGCUGGCGGUAAGUGAAGUCCCUUGCGGACGGAGCCGAAGCCAGUCGAAGAUACCAGCUGGCUGCAACUGUUUAUUAAAAACACAGCACUGUGCAAACACGAAAGUGGACGUAUACGGUGUGACGCCUGCCCGGUGCUGGAAGGUUAAUUGAUGGGGUUAUCCUUAGGGAGAAGCUCUUGAUCGAAGCCCCAGUAAACGGCGGCCGUAACUAUAACGGUCCUAAGGUAGCGAAAUUCCUUGUCGGGUAAGUUCCGACCUGCACGAAUGGCGUAAUGAUGGCCAGGCUGUCUCCACCCGAGACUCAGUGAAAUUGAACUCGCUGUGAAGAUGCAGUGUACCCGCGGCAAGACGGAAAGACCCCGUGAACCUUUACUAUAGCUUGACACUGAACAUUGAGCCUUGAUGUGUAGGAUAGGUGGGAGACUAUGAAGUGUGGACGCCAGUCUGCAUGGAGUCAACCUUGAAAUACCACCCUUUAACGUUUGAUGUUCUAACCUAGGCCCGUAAUCCGGGUCGGGGACCGUGUCUGGUGGGUAGUUUGACUGGGGCGGUCUCCUCCUAAAGAGUAACGGAGGAGCACGAAGGUUGGCUAAGCAUGGUCGGACAUCAUGCGGUUAGUGCAAAGGCAUAAGCCAGCUUGACUGUGAGAGUGACGGCUCGAGCAGGUACGAAAGUAGGUCUUAGUGAUCCGGUGGUUCUGAAUGGAAGGGCCAUCGCUCAACGGAUAAAAGGUACUCCGGGGAUAACAGGCUGAUACCGCCCAAGAGUUCAUAUCGACGGCGGUGUUUGGCACCUCGAUGUCGGCUCAUCACAUCCUGGGGCUGAAGUAGGUCCCAAGGGUAUGGCUGUUCGCCAUUUAAAGUGGUACGCGAGCUGGGUUUAGAACGUCGUGAGACAGUUCGGUCCCUAUCUGCCGUGGGCGUUGGAAGAUUGAGAGGGGUUGCUCCUAGUACGAGAGGACCGGAGUGAACGCACCACUGGUGUUCGGGUUGUCAUGCCAAUGGCAUUGCCCGGUAGCUAAGUGCGGAAGAGAUAACCGCUGAAAGCAUCUAAGCGGGAAACUUGCCUCGAGAUGAGUCUUCCCUGUCACCUUGAGUGACCUAAAGGAACGUUUAAGACUAAGACGUUGAUAGGCUGGGUGUGUAAGCGUAGCGAUACGUUGAGCUAACCAGUACUAAUGAACCGUGAGGCUUAACCUG